UUUAUAUUUUUGUAAAAUUUUAUUGGUUGUCAUUAAUUCGAUAAUUAAAAUUGGUAAAUGAUAUCGAAAAAUCAUAAAAUUUAUUUUCUAGAUACUUCAAAUACGUUAGAUCAAGUUUAACAAAGCUGAUCAUCGAUUCGGAAGCUCCAUAAUUAAAAACGGCUUAAGAGCACGAAGGCCUUCGUGCUUCUAAUAACAUAGGGCUUAUGCUCAUGAGAGUAUAGUAGCCGGACUCAUAUAUAGGCUAGGGCUACUAUACUUUUAUGAGUAUAGAACCCUUUGUACUCAUAAGUUUUCGAUCGUUGGAUGAAGGGAUGUGCGGUUAGGAUAAUAGUGAUCUCCGAUUAGGUUAAUAGUGGUCUUCAUGGGUUGAGUGGGUGGUUGGUUGAAUAGUAUGAUCUAAUGGAUGGAAAUGGUCAAAGGAGUAGAUCUAACGGCCGGAAACUUAUGAGUACAAAGGGGCUUAUACUCAUAAGAGUAUAGUAGCCGGACUCUAUAUAUAUAUAUGAGUAGAGCUAGAAUACUUCCAAAAGCACCAAUAGGUUGGUGCUUUUGAGUUUUUAACCAUUGGAUGGAGAGAUGUAGCGUUGAAAUGAUGGUGGUAGGUGGUGAUAGGUGCAAUAGUAUUUGAUCCAAAGGCUAUCAGUAAUCAAGGAGUAGAUUCAAGGACUAGAAACUUAGAAGCACCAAUGAGUUGGUGCUUCUAAAAGUAUUCUAGCUCAAUUCAUAUAUAUAUAUAUAUAUAUAUAUAUAUAUAGAGUUGAGCUGGAAUACUAUCGGUAGCAAACGGGCUCCGUUGCCACCCAUUUGUUUUCGAUGAUGGAGCCUUCAAAUCGACGAUUGGUACCGUUGAACAUGAUCUAUAUCACUUGAAGUAUUUAGAAAUCAAAUUUCAAAUCUUUUCGACAUCAUUUACCUUAAUGAUCAAAGGGUUUCAAAAUUAGUAAUUUUAAUGGUUGAUAUGAAGCGUUUUCUCGUUUAACGGUAUAAAGCUAUCCAAAUCAAUUGAAUUUUGGUUAGAAAAUUCUUUAAACUAUUUAGAACAAGAUCUAUACUCUCGAUCAUGAUUACAAAAUUUCUAUCAUCACUUUUUAGAGAAUAUGCAUUUUCAGCCAUUCAUUUUUACGCCCACUUAAUGGACAAGAAAACAAUAUCGGAAAAGUAUGAAAUUUGAUUUCUAAAUACUUCAAGUGGUAUAGAUCAUUUUCAACGGUGCCGAUCGUUGAUUUGGAGGCUCCAUCAUCGAAAACAAAUGGGUGGCAACGGAGCCCGU
rnacentral:lncRNA from 1 species